AUAUACUCGUGAAUUGAUUAAAAUAUGCUGUAGUGCGCAUUUCAAAAUUGUCAACACAACUGAAAAUUUUCCUAGAUAUUUUCUCAAGCUAGAUGUGGUUUAUUAUCUGAUCAAAUCUACUUUUGAAAAGAACAAAUGCGAGAAUACAUGAACUGAUGAACCGCUUCCAGCUUUCCCACAGUCAUCAAAAGCAGAUGUCCGGCCAAAAGAGUGAAGUGUUGAUCCGAGUUGAUGUCGAUAAUGAUUUCAAACUUUAAAACAUUCACAGUAUAUUAUGUUUUGUGAACUGACCGUUUAAUCAUGCACGUUAUCCUUUUUCCUUUAAAUGAUUUCAGAGAGAAAGUAAGAAUGUAUAGCAUUUCUGCUUACAGCUGUUUCGUUUGGUGACCGAGAAGAGCGGGAUAAUCGAUCGAUAUCGAGUCUGUAUUGAUUUGCAAAGUAUAUACAGAAUGUUUAUACCAUAAAGAAACCGCAGACCUUUGAACGUCAGUCACUUAUGAAAGUUGUAUAGUUUAGCACGAACUUCAUUCAAAAGAGCUCUACUCCUCAAGUUUUCUACAAUUUUGCAAAACAAACCAUGAUUUGGUUGGCUCUGUGUACACUAGUCUAUAUUGUAGCUGGACAAGAUCUAGUUCCCGAAAUUUUGAAUGAUCCCGAAGACUUCGUUGGCUUCUCAGAUGACUUUAAAAACUUAAUAGUAAAAACAAACACUGUCCUGGAUGCAAAGUACUACUGGCUAAAAGAUGACAACAGAAUAACAAAGGAUAGUGAACCACCAUUUCUUUCAUUUGACUCAAGAAUAUUGACAGCAGAUAGUCAGAGCAAGAAAAAUGCUGGUAUUUACCAGUUUGUUAUGACAACCGAUGCUGGAACAAUCAAAGGAAGGAAAAUUAAAGUUGAGUUUACUUAUCUUGGGAAAUUUGACCCAAACCUUCCUACCACCCGGACAGUGAAUGUCAUCGUCGGUCAG